AUUGAACGCUGGCGGCAUGCUGUACACAUGCAAGUCGAACGGUAACAGGCCGCAAGGUGCUGACGAGUGGCGAACGGGUGUGUAAUGCAUCGGAACGUGCCCAGUCGUGGGGGAUAACUACUCGAAAGAGUAGCUAAUACCGCAUACGAUCUAUGGAUGAAAGCGGGGGACCGUAAGGCCUCGCGCGAUUCGAGCGGCCGAUGUCAGAUUAGGUAGUUGGUGGGGUAAAGGCUCACCAAGCCAACGAUCUGUAGCUGGUCUGAGAGGACGACCAGCCACACUGGGACUGAGACACGGCCCAGACUCCUACGGGAGGCAGCAGUGGGGAAUUUUGGACAAUGGGCGCAAGCCUGAUCCAGCAAUGCCGCGUGCAGGAAGAAGGCCUUCGGGUUGUAAACUGCUUUUGUACGGAACGAAACGGCUCUGGUUAAUACCCGGGGCUAAUGACGGUACCGUAAGAAUAAGCACCGGCUAACUACGUG
rnacentral:rRNA from 1 species